GGGCCUUGUCCUGGGUAGAGGGGCAUCUGGCUGUGGUGGCCUCUCAUCCCGGCCAGGGACAAAGCGACUCCUUGUUCAUCCCGGCCCGGCCCUUGCUCUGUGCCCGUGCUGGUUCAUGCCCUGGACACAGCA
ensembl:snoRNA